UGACGAGUGAUAUAACGGUUAUUAUACCUGAUUUUGGUUCAGGUCAUGGGAGUUCGAUUCUCUCCUCGUCAA
rnacentral:tRNA from 1 species